rnacentral:lncRNA from 1 species
CUUGGCUCUCUAAAUUCAUCACAGCUACAGGAACAACUGACUUUCCUCUAGAGGAUUUGAACUGGAGGAGGCUUGAAGUUGAACAAUGGAACUCUCAGUACCAACUUCCCUUUACAGUCUGAUCUCAGAAAUCUGACAGCCAGUUGUAUUCCCCCAGACCCUCUACCUUCACCUGUACUGAGGUUGUCCCACAUGGCAGUUUCAGGCGCAAUUCUUCUGGAGAUGACAAAGGGCAGGAAGGUGCUUCAGGUACGUGGGGAGGUGCUCUUUGUCGUUCACACCCAUGCACUGAGGAUUUCUCUGCCUGAUACAGAGAGCCUCAUGGAGCCACCAUUGGUAAUAUUCCCUCUUUCAACUACCUGCCACAUGCCAGGCUGUUGCAUUUGCUGCUAUAUACAUGGAAAAAUAAAAUUCUGAUUAUAAUAUAUUAUAAGUAUGAUUAAAAUAGGAUGCAGUGAGAGACAAUAAUGAAGAAGACAUGUGUAUUUGGAAGACUUACUUAGAUCAGGAAGCCUCUCUCAGGAAGUGACCUUUUACUCAAAGCCUGGAGGGAAAAGAUAUCCACAAGCUAUUGACGAUAUCAUAUUUCCAAUAGAGGCAGAGUGUAAAAUGCCAUUAUUGUAACCUAUCGGAGCAGCCUGUUCAGCUGAGCUGUAACAGCCUCUGGGUCUGAAAGUUGCUUUCAUUUUGGUUUCACUCACGAAGACUGUGCUAAAAUCAGAGGGAUGAAAGAAUAAUGUUCCUCCUUAAGUUCCUAACAUGCCUGGCCACUUAGUGGGGUAAAGGAAAUAUCUAUGCUUGUUUGAGGAUCAAAUAAAAAGAUAAUU